GUAAAGUAUAUAUCACAACAUUUUGAAUGAAUUAAUAAGCACAAACUUUAAAAAAUGUUUUUUGUUUAUUUCUCAUCUAAGUAACGGUAUAAUCAUAAUAGGCUAUUUAUUAAUCUCUAGUUAUAUUUAAUAUAUAUUUUCAUUCAUAGGUGAACAUGAGUGUUCAUGCCCUGUACACUAAAUAAGUGCCCAAGAGGAACAAGUUCAACCAGCAAGGGGAUGGUUGUAAGACUAAGGGGCUGCCUUGGACCACAAUCAUUCCGGGAAAAGACAUCAGGCUACAACAAAGGAGGGAGUGCUCAGAUUCAACCAAUAAUUCUUCAAGGCUGCAAAGGCAUUCGUGGUGAAAUCCAUCAAGGAGGAAAAGAUCCUCCUGGCAGCGUAUUAGUGAUGAGUGACUACCAUAGCUAGGAGGGCAUAGUUGAGCUGAGGUGAUUCUCGUCUACCGACUCCCGUCCUCUCACUUCAAAAAGAUGACCUGACAGAGAGAAGUGAUGACAACAAGUGCAGACUCUAACUUGACAGUGUAUUUCAAAUUUUGAGCAAAUUCCAUCUGGGAGGGAAGCUGACUGCUGCCUGGGCAAAGGAAAACAAUGGGAAAAUGUAAAUAAAAAGUACAAGGAGGCUAGGGAGAAAACUAGCCCUGUGCCAAAGAAGAGGAACAAUGACCUUCUGCAUUUCCUCAGAGAGACAGGAGAAGAGGGACAAUGAGGCUCGGGAGAAAGAGGAGAAGAGGGAGGAAGAGGCUGCCAAGAGAGGUCACAAGUUCCUCUCUCUUUUUGGGAAAUGUGUAGAUAAGGUGUGAGAGUUUUGAGAGAGAUGUGAGUUAGGGUUUUAAAGUUAAAUUUUAAAGUUUAAAUGGUUCAAUUGUAAUUACGCAAGGGUUAACAUGAUCCACUGUUCCCUGUGUCUCUAUAUAGUUAGAUAUUGAUAACACCAUAACAACCAUGUAGCAAUUCAAGUGAAUUGACUUAUUAUGGUGAAUUUUGAUGCUGAACUAUAUUUGAUGUUACAAGGGCAAAACAGGAACAUGGUAAAUUCAGAGAAUUGUUGUUUACGUGUUUUACAUCACAUGUACUUCUAACCCA